GAGGGAAGUGGUUCACCAGCCCCAAAGGAGGGCUCACCUCACUCGUGCCCUUCCCAAAUGAGGGCCCCCUUCUGUAAGGAGCUAGUUGGCCUCAGCUCAUUGGGCAUCCUCACCUGUCAGGAUUGGACCACAGAUUGUACUGUUUACCCCAGACUGAAAAUACUGUAGGAAGGGAACGGGGAUGGGGGAGUGACAGGGCAGAUACAGGCUAUAUCUUGAAUAUAAUGGUGCCACUGGCAGAGAAGACAUUUCUUAGCUUGUAUUAGUGCUCCUUCUUGAAGAGCAGUCCCGAACACCAAAGAGAAUUCACCUGGAAUACAAAGAUGACUAAUAUAUAUUUUGUGCAUAUAGGAGAGGAAAGGUAGACCAGUAAAUGGGACACAAAGGACUUUGGAGACCAAGAUUUAUUUCCCUGCUCUGCCACAGAUAUCCUUUGUAACCUUGGGCAGCUCCUGGGUGGUGAGACUGGACUUCUCCAGGUGUGCGUCAAAGACUCAAGUGAGGCUUGACUGAACAAAGAGGAAAAGAACAAUAGCAGCUUUGGUUUCUGUUCAGAGGAACUAUGGUCUUGAUCCUCCAAGAUGCUGAUUUGAUAGUAGCCAUUGUGGCUGUCACUGGGGAUUGAAUCUAGCACCUCUGGAGCUAAAAACACCAGUCUCCACAGCUUGAGUCACAGAGCGCAGGAAUUUUAGGAUUUGUUGAGUUGCUGCUCUGAUGACUGGGAAAUCACUGAGCGAUGUUCGGUCGCCAAGUUGAUGGCAUUCGUCAUGAAUUAUCACUUAAAGUGGACUGCGUGAAAGCUGCCAUCUUCCACUCCAGUUUUACUCCAAACAACCCAAACAAGGUGUUAAUGGGCCACUCUACCUACCAACACUACAAAAAGAAGGAUUCUGUGUGGACUUCUCCUGAAGGUCAAAACAACAGACUGGACUUCUACAUAGAGUGCUUCCGUCGAUGUGCACGAGCUGAAAUUGUGGAAAAGCAGCAUCACUUGCCAAAUAACCUCACCCAUGCAGAACACGCCAUCCACAGCCUCAGAAAAAACUCUGACAUCACAAUAAAAAAGGCUGACAAAGGAGGUGCUGUAGUCAUCAUGAAUAGGUUGGAAUAUGAACAAGAGGCUGCUAGACAACUCUCUGACAUCACAUUCUACAGGCCAUUACCCUCUGACCCCACUGAGGAUUACCAAAAGAAACUAUAGCAUCUUCUUAAGAAACUCCCGAAAGAAGUACAGGAACAAAUUUACACUGACACACCCCUAGAGCCCCGACCAGUGGUAUUUUACCUGCUACCCAAAAUCCAUAAAUCUGGGAAACCUAGAUGCCCCAUCAUCUCAGGCAUUGGCACCCUGACAGCAGGAUUAUGUGGCUAUGUAGACUCUCUCCUCAGGCCCUACGCUACCAGCACUCCCAGCUAUCUUCGAGACAUCUAUCUUCCUGAAAAAACUAAAAUCCUUUGGUGAUCUUCCAGAAAACACCAUCCUAGCCACUAUGGAUGUAGAAGCCCUCUACACCAACAUUCCACACAAAGAUGGACUAUAAGCCAUCAGGAAUAGCAUUCCCGAUACCAUCAUGGCA